UACGUAGGCAGCAAGCGUUGUUCGGAAUUACUGGGCGUAAAGAGUGUGUAGGCGGUUUUCUAAGUUCGGUGUGAAAUCUCCCGGCUUAACUGGGAGGGUGCGCCGGAAACUGGAGGACUGGAGUGCCGGAGAGGAUAGCGGAAUUCCUGGUGUAGCGGUGAAAUGCGCAGAUAUCAGGAGGAACACCGGUGGCGAAGGCGGGUCUCUGGGCCGAUACUGACGCUGAGGAGCGAAAGCGUGGGGAGCGAACAGG
rnacentral:rRNA from 1 species